CCUACGGGGGGCAGCAGUGGGGAAUAUUGGGCAAUGGACGCAAGUCUGACCCAGCAACGCCGCGUGAAGGAAGAAGGCUUUCGGGUUGUAAACUUCUUUUAAGGGGGAAGAGCAGAUGACGGUACCUGGGGAGGAAGCUCCGGCUAACUACGUGCCAGCAGCCGCGGUAAUACGUAGGGAGCGAGCGUUGUCCGGAAUUACUGGGUGUAAAGGGAGCGUAGGCGGGACUGCAAGUUGGGUGUCAAAUCUACCGGCUCAACCGGUAGCCGCACUCAAAACUGCAGUUCUUGAGUGAAGUAGAGGCAGGCGGAAUUCCUAGUGUAGCGGUGAAAUGCGUAGAUAUUAGGAGGAACACCAGUGGCGAAGGCGGCCUGCUGGGCUUUUACUGACGCUGAGGCACGAAGGCCAGGGGAGCGAAAGGGAUUAGAUACCCUUGUAGUC
rnacentral:rRNA from 1 species